UACAGAAAAGCAUAGAAAAGAAGAUAAAGUGCAUAUAAUGAUAAUACCACCACUCGGAGGCAACCAUGGUCAUUCCGGACUCCUAAAGCCGCCAGUCCCUCAGUGAGACAUGAGCGCCACUGGCGUCCGUGGCCUCUGUUUCCGUGGCAACCCAGUAACCAUUAAUUUUCAAUUAAAGGAGACAAAAAGCUGGAUGACAGCGCUAGGUCUGCUGAAGAUGUCAAGAAUCUGUAUUAAUAUACAGCAAGAGAGCAUAAUUGUGUGUCCAUCUUCCCGAGCAGCGAAAAAUGGAGGGAUAAUUACCAGCUCGAAAGCCACUCUGUAAUUUAGUUCUUACUGUCACCACAGCCCUACACAUUAGCAUAAAUUAAAAGCAGAGUUUAUUGUUAUCAAAGUGCA